AGCUUUUCUUUGCCUUUUGGCUUAGAUCAAGUGUAGUAUCUGUUCUUGAAAGUUUGGUCGACUUUCACGCCUCCACGCGAGGCGAUUCGAUCUAACUUGUUUUUGGAAUCUGGGGAGUACCCUCUGGCUUGCUAUGGUGCUUUCCACUGAUGGCCCAAGAGUUGCACUGUUUCUUGGAGCUGUCGAAAUUAU
rnacentral:snRNA from 1 species